UAGAAGGAACUGCAUGAGCAAUGCCUCAGUGC
rnacentral:piRNA from 1 species